GGAUGUGAGGGCGAUCUGGCUGCAACAUCUGUCACCCCAUUGAUCUCCAGGGUUGAUUCUGCUGACCUGGCUGGCCAGGUGGGUGUCCCCAUCCUCCCUCACUGCCCCAUGUGCAGACGGCCUUCCCCGAAUAGAGACAGGCGGGUCUUAGGUCGAGGGUACACUAGUAACUGAGCUCCCCUGCUGCAACCUUCAAACAAGCUCUCGGGGUCUUAAUAUUGAGAUAGAGUUUGUAAAGAUGUCUUUUACAGCUGCUUCCCUAAGUAGGAAUUUUUUUAAGC
rnacentral:snRNA from 1 species